GUAGAUUUCAGUAGAUUUUGAAGUAUUCCUUCAAAAUCUACAGAAAUUAAAAAAGUUAGAGUAAAUAAAAGAACAUAAACUCUGAAGCCUCAUUGUUAAAGGGUUAAAGGAAGUCAAAUUGCCUUAUCUUAAGCAUGACCUCACGUGAUAUGUUGUUUAAAAAAAUGCUAACAUAAGCAAAUACAUUAAUUCAUGUAAUGAUUUAAAAUAUGACAGAUAAAAAUAAAAACAACUUCAAAAUGUAUUUCUUAAUAGAGUAAAUGUAAAAAAAAGUAAAUAAAAUACAUUAUCUAAAUAUACUGGAAAGAGACAAAAGAAUUUGCCUUUUGUGUUUCCCCCGGUAGAGUUAACAGCAUAAGUGUUAUUCAAAUGUCAAACGGUGUGUUUGGAGUGUAAGGAGAGGAAACAGACUGAUGGAGGGCUUCUGUUCUGAAGAGGAAAAACAGGAGAACAGACUCACCAUCACUGCUGAUGCUCUUUCUGGACAGAACUCUACACCAUCAGCAGGCGGCGUCCCCGGUGACAGUGGUGGUGUCAGCGACCCAGCUUGACUGAUAGCGCGGUGUUAUUUUACACCGCUCUGACUGGCUGCGCUGAUGUUUCAGCGGUGAAAACAGGAACUGCUUGUGCCGAGUGGGCGUGCUUGCAAACAGAAAGGCUGGGUGGGUGGAUGGGCAAGGCUGCUUGUACACAUACACACACAUGCGACAUACACACACUGUUGCGGUGUUGGGAUGCAUUGCAAAAAAAAAAAAAAA